GUGUUCGUUUCAGCAGCACAUAUACUAAAAUUGGAACUAUACAGACAAGAUUAGCAUGGCCCCUGCACAAGGAUGACAUGCAAAUUUGUGAAGCACUCCUUAUUUUU
ensembl:snRNA U6 U6 spliceosomal RNA